AUGAUAAACAUAUUAACAAAUGACAUGUUUGAUUUUAAAUCUUAUAUUUUGGAUGUAUGGAAAAUUGAAAAUACGUAUGACAAUUCACUUACUGCUGAAUAUGAACUUAAUACAAAUGAUGAAGAUAAUAAUCAAGCCUUUUUAUUUUAUAAUAAUUCUUGUUUAUUAUUAAAUGAUAAUACACCCUUAGUCAUAUUAGAAUAUAUUGAACAUGAUCCUUUAGUAUUAUUGAAAAUAGGAAUGAAUAGUAAAUUAAACCAUUAUUUUAUGUGUAAAAAUGAGGAAAACCUAUACUCUUUGGAAUAUAAAAAUAAAUUAAAAAAUGAAACCGAACCCUUUGGUGAAAUAAACGUAAUAAACAACUCUAUUAACUAUUUUGGUGUUAAUAUUAAAUUAAAAAAUUCAAAUCAAAAAAUAACCUUUCUUGAAAAUGAGUUGUUUAAAGCAUUUUUAUUUACCAUGCCGGUUUAUAACCUUAACUAUUUAGAGGAAAGCAAAAAAGAAAAAAACAAAAAUGGUUGUUUUGAUGAAUCUGAUGUUUUGAGUGGGCCUGACCUUUUGAGUGGGACUGACGCUUUGAAUGGACCUGACAUUUUGAAUGGGCCUGACAAUUUGAGUGGGUUAGACAAUUUAAGUGGGUCUGACAAUUUGAUCAGGAAUAAAAGCAUAAACAGACGUGACCAUAUAAACGACUUUGUUACCGUUGUUGAUAAUAUCAAUAACAAAAGUGAUGGAAAUGACAAAGAAAGAGUAACUGAAACAUAUACAAAUCAGUCACCUGAUGACGAUUUAAGUACUAAUGACUGGGAUAAUUAUAAUACAAAUAUCCAUAAAAACAGUGAUAAAAAUAGUGAUAAAAAUAGUGAUAAAAAUAGUGAUAAAAANNNNNNNNNNAGUGAUAAAAAUAGUGAUAAAAACAGUGAUAACAAUAGUGAUAAAAAUAGUGAUAACAAUAGCGAUAACAACAGUGUUAACAACAGCGAUAACAAUAAUAACAACUUAUUUGAAGCUGAAGAAAACGACAAAAAAAUAACUACAACACCAUUAGUCACACUCUCAGGUUCGAUACAGAAUGAAAAGCAAGCAAACAAAAACGUGGAUGUUAUAUAUGACGGUGCAAGUAUUAAAUCGAUGGAGGGUGAUAUCGAUUCACAUCAUAAGGAUGAUAAUGCAGAACACACGAAUAUAAAUUAUAACAAUGCGGAACAUACGAAUAUAAAUUAUAANNNNNNNNNNGAACAUACGAAUAUAAAUUAUAACAAUGCGGAACAUACGAACAUAAACGAUGAAAACUCUAACAGUGAUAACUUCUUCUACUGCACCGACUUUUUAUUAAUACGAAAUUUUUCAAGUAAUAAAAACAAAAUUUUUAUAAAACCAUUAUAUAUCGAUUUAAACACAUAUAAAGAUGUAGAAAAAGAAUUAAUUAUGAAAGAAGGAUAUGAAGAACAUAAAAAAAAAAAACAAUCGAGAUGA
rnacentral:lncRNA from 1 species